GGUCCAGCAGGCAUUCUCAGGUGAUUCAGUCAGUAAAGCGCAAGUCAAGUUCAAGGUUGGGUGCUGGACUCCCAAAGUCUACAUGUUUCUAGGACACCGUCAGGUGUCACCUGGGUGCAUCAGACACCCCACUAGCUGAUGCCUGAUGGAUGUGAUCACAGUGGACAGGAGUCAGAACAGCAGAGGAAAGAUCAGAGUCUCAGGUCUUCACUCACCUACCUCACA